CCCUGGUGGCUCGAAUGGUAAAGAGUCUGCCUGCAAUGCAGGAGACCCGGGUACAAUACCUGGGUCAGGAA
rnacentral:tRNA from 1 species